AUUGAACGCUGGCGGAAUGCUUUACACAUGCAAGUCGAACGGCAGCACGGGGGCAACCCUGGUGGCGAGUGGCGAACGGGUGAGUAAUACAUCGGAACGUGCCCAGUCGUGGGGGAUAACGUAGCGAAAGUUACGCUAAUACCGCAUACGAUCUAUGGAUGAAAGCGGGGGACCGUAAGGCCUCGCGCGAUUGGAGCGGCCGAUGUCAGAUUAGGUAGUUGGUGGGGUAAAGGCUCACCAAGCCGACGAUCUGUAGCUGGUCUGAGAGGACGACCAGCCACACUCGGACUGAGACACGGCCCAGACUCCUACGGGAGGCAGCAGUGGGGAAUUUUGGACAAUGGGCGCAAGCCUGAUUCAGCCAUUCCGCGUGCAGGAUGAAGGCCCUCGGGUUGUAAACUGCUUUUGUACGGAACGAAACGGUCUGCUCUAAUACAGCGGGCUAAUGACGGUACCGUAAGAAUAAGCACCGGCUAACUACGUGCCAGCCGCCGCGGUAA
rnacentral:rRNA from 1 species